rnacentral:rRNA from 1 species
AGUGAACGCUGGCGGUAGGCCUAACACAUGCAAGUCGAACGGCAGCACAGUAAGAGCUUGCUCUUACGGGUGGCGAGUGGCGGACGGGUGAGGAAUACAUCGGAAUCUACUUUUUCGUGGGGGAUAACGUAGGGAAACUUACGCUAAUACCGCAUACGACCUACGGGUGAAAGCAGGGGAUCUUCGGACCUUGCGCGAUUGAAUGAGCCGAUGUCGGAUUAGCUAGUUGGCGGGGUAAAGGCCCACCAAGGCGACGAUCCGUAGCUGGUCUGAGAGGAUGAUCAGCCACACUGGAACUGAGACACGGUCCAGACUCCUACGAGAGGCAGCAGUGGGGAAUAUUGGGCAAUGGGCGCAAGCCUGAUCCAGCCAUACCGCGUGGGUGAAGAAGGCCUUCGGGUUGUAAAGCCCUUUUGUUGGGAAAGAAAAGCAGCAGGUUAAUACCCCGCUGUUCUGACGGUACCCAAAGAAUAAGCACCGGCUAACUUCGUG